rnacentral:sRNA from 1 species
UAAGAUGUGCUCCGUGAGGCGGUGCACUU